AUUAGUCUAUGGUACAUGUUUAUGCUGAAACUAUUAGUUACAUCAUUUAAUGCUUGGGACUCCUCUGUUUUGGGGCCUUUCGUUUAGGGGGCACUGUACUGGCUGUGUUUGACUGGAUACUAAAUCUCUGCACUACAAGGCAGUCUGGCCAGCUAUAACUUUUGAUUGGUCUAGGAAUCCAAGGAGAGAGAAGACUAAUGUAACCAUAGAUUUAAGGAGUGAUAUUGUAACAUCCUCCUAGGGUCAUCUACUAUAAAGAAAAGUUCUCA